UACGUAGGGGGCAAGCGUUGUCCGGAAUCAUUGGGCGUAAAGCGCGUGUAGGCGGUCCGGUAAGUCCGCUGUGAAAGUCGGGGGCUCAACCCUCGGAUGCCGGUGGAGUACUGUCGGGCUUGAGUACGGAAGAGGCGAGUGGAAUUCCUGGUGUAGCGGUGAAAUGCGCAGAUAUCAAGGAGGAACACCAAUUGCGAAGGCAGCUCGCUGGGACGUUACUGACGCUGAGACGCGAAAGCGUGGGAGCAAACAGG
rnacentral:rRNA from 1 species